rnacentral:rRNA from 1 species
GGUUAAGUUAAUAAGGGCGCACGGUGGAUGCCUUGGCACUAGGAGCCGACGAAGGACGUGACAAACGACGAUAUGCCUUGGGUAGCUGUAAGUAAGCGAUGAUCCAGGGAUUUCCGAAUGGGGGAACCCAACAGGUAGUACCUGUUACCCACAUCUGUUAAGGAUGUGAGGAGGAAGACGCAGUGAACUGAAACAUCUAAGUAGCUGCAGGAAGAGAAAGCAAAAGCGAUUGCCUUAGUAGCGGCGAGCGAAACGGCAGAAGGGCAAACCGAAGAGUUUACUCUUCGGGGUUGUAGGACUGCAAUGUGGACUCAAAGAUUAUAGAAGAAUGAUUUGGGAAGAUCAGCCAAAGAGAGUAAUAGCCUCGUAUUUAAAAUAGUCUUUGUAGCUAGCAGUAUCCUGAGUACGGCGGGACACGUGAAAUCCCGUCGGAAUCUGGGAGGACCAUCUCCCAACCCUAAAUACUCCCUAGUGACCGAUAGUGAACCAGUACCGUGAGGGAA